ACUACGACGGGCGAACAGGAUGACAGUGGCGGCGGCUGCUGGCUUCUUGCGGUGGCACUCGGAGUGACCAGACGUGAGGAUGCUGCACAAGGUCUGUGUGAAAGAGAACAUGAAGGAUGAGCCAACACACUGAAAGAGAGGAAGUGAUAAUUAACAGUGGAAGGUGCAAAACCACCCACAAACUCUGCAGUGCACGUGGAGGCUGCAAUAAAACAUCAAAAAAGAAAAUUCCACCAUGAGCGUCAAACUCAAGGCCAGACAUGCGGCCAACUAAAGCAAAUAAAUUACCUCGCUUAACAUGGCCGCUUCAAACCAAAAUGGCAGAUUUGCAGUGAUUUUUUUUUGCCGUGGCUUUUUGAAACAUUUUUUGGGUCCAUUUAUGAUAGUCGGAUAUAGUUACUAAAUUCCGUGUUUCCUAAAUAUGG